GACAGGCUGUGUAGGACAUUGUUUGCCUCCCACUAUACACCAUUCAUUGACCAUGAACUGACUACCAGUAAAAGCUUUCCAUCACCUUAGGAAGACUGUUAAAUGUUACUAUUUACUACUUUCUUUCUUUACUUUCUUUCUUUCUUCCAGCUCUGCCCCUUCCUCUGCCUUUUAAGGUUAUCUCAGAUGCUACGUGCCGUCUGAUAAAGGUUAAGGAGCCUUUUAGCUGGCAGCACCUUCAGUAUCCAGCUUGUUUGGCAUCUCACAGCCUCCAAGAGUACACAGUGAUGAUGGCAGCUGAUGGUGAAGAUACACUCCACAAAGCUGACUGCAGCAAUGACCCCAACCCAUUAGCUAUUUUAGCGAAACUAUUCAAGACUUGCCCUGCAUGAAAUAGCUGUGUGUAACUAUGUUUAAUAGGCCUACAGUAUGUGUCAAGGCGGUUGUCAUGCCUGCACAUUAUGUAUUCCAUAAUACCAGUGACAGAUCCCUGAGAGUCUGAGCCAAGGCUGUGAUAUCUACAAUAGCGCACUGGCUGUGUGGAUUAAGCUCAGAUGGGCAAUAAACCAAGCAAGGGGAGUGGAAAGAGACCGAGGGAGAGGCAGCGUCAGAAAGAAGCAGAGAGCAAUAAAACCUCCAAAAAGCAGCGAUUAGCUAAAGCGCCUUAACCUAACUGGUUUCAUUAGGAAGACACAACAGAAAAUGAGAGGUGUCAUACUACAGCUGAGGAUGCUAGCAUUGCUACAGGAGAAACAGCAGGCAGACUCACACAUAUGGAACAAGAUCAUUUCCUUUUGUGUGUCCUGCCUUUUCAUGCAAACGUUCCCAUGAAGUCCCCCGUAUUGACAACAUGCUGGACCGUCCUGUCUCCUGGUAUGUUUAAAAGCCCUGGACUUUCUGUAGAUGCUAUCUUUUCAAUCUAUUACCACACACAGUGUGAGAAAUUAAACCAUGCCAAGACAUUAA